rnacentral:lncRNA from 1 species
GUCAUGUUGGAAAGCAGUAAAAUACUGAGUUUGUAAAUGAAAAUAUUACUAGUGUGAAGGAUCAACGCUCAACCUAAUGAGAAAUGGGGAGAAAGGCAAAUGAAAGAGGGAUCCAAGAUUAUUCAGGACACCCUUGUGGGUAAAAAAACUGAAAGAAGAGAUUCCUAUUGAACAGAAACAAAACUGAAGACAGUGUUUUUAACUCUACAAUCUUUUACGCCCAUGCUGUUCUGCGAAAAAACUGUAACAACAAUAACGCAUAAGCGUUAAAGGAACCAGGCCCAGAGCCAGGCCCUCUGUGCUCAACAUUCAACUCCACCACUUUCUAGCUAUGUCAUUUUGGGAAAGUUACUUAACAGCUCUUUGCCUCAGUCUCCUCACCUGUAAAAUGGGGUGUAUAAUAACACAAGUGCCUUUAAAAUCAGGAGGGGCUUCUUCAAAGCACAGUUGUGAUUAUAUCCCUCUACUGAUCAAAAACUUUAUUCACAAAAUCAAAUCCACAUCUUUCACGAACCAUAUAGAUCUUGUGUAGGUUCUGCAAAACAAUAAGCGCUUCCCUGUGUCAUCUCCAGCAGCUCUGUGCUAGAAAGCCUUUUCCUUACCAUCUUUCCAAGUCCACUUUAGGAAAGUAACUCUCCCUCCCAUUCCACAGUGCACUCAUCUGUUCCUCUGUACGUACGGUUUAUCACUAUUCCCCCUGGUUUUGUUUGGUCUUUUAAUGCCUCACUCUUUCUCCUAAAGCAGUAAUUGCAGAGAGCCGUUGCAAAUCUUUUUCAUCCCCGUUCCUACCCUUCAUCCCAGAAUGUGCCUGUGCAAGCCUGGGAAAAGCGUUACUGAAUUAAACGGGAUGAUUACAACCGUAAUGGCCGCAAUUCCAGAAACUGCCUAAUUUCGCAUAAUUUUGUAUUGUUUUCAAAUCCUGAAAAUCUUGACACGAAAGGCCUCUUAAAAUCAGAACACCAUCCUUUCAAGAAAAGUUCUACCGAGCACCCCCACGAGUUGACAUUGCGGUCAUUCUUAGCUCCAGAAGUUGUGUGUGUGCCGCGGAAGGCAGAUUCACACUGGUCCACACUGUACUUUGAAAUAAGGGAAACAACAACAAAAAAAUGAACUUCAUCAAAAUUAAACUUUUGGCUUCAAAGAACACUAUCAAGAAAGCAAGAUUACAACCCAAGGAAUAUAAGACUAUAUUUACAAAUAAUAUAUCUGAUAAGAAACUUGUAUUCAGAGCAUACAAAGAACUCUUACAAUUAAAAAACAGCAACCCAAUUUAAAAAUGAACAAAGGAGUUGAAUAGACAUUUCUCCAAAGAAGAUAUACAAUUGCUUAAUAAGGAGGUGAAAAGAUGCUCAACAUCAUUAAUCAUUAGGGAAAUGCAAACCAAAAUCACAAUGAGAUACCACAAGGAUAGCUAAAGUUAAAAAGAAAGAAAAUAAAUAGCAUUAGCAAAGAAAUUAGAAUGCUUAAGCAUCGCUAAUGGGAAUGUUAAAUGGUGUAGGUGCUUUGGAAAACCGUAGAGAAGUUGUUUGUGUGUGUUUUUCUUUAAGAAAACAUUGAGUUACCCUAUGAUCCAACAAUUCCACUCAUAGGUAUAUAACCAAGAGAACUGAAAAUAUGUCCACACAAAAACUUCUACACAAAUAUUCAUAACAGCAUUAGUUGUAAUAGCCCCCAAAUGGGAAUAGCCCAAAUGUCCAUGAACUGAUGAAUGGAUGAACACAAUGUGGUAUAUCCAUAAAUGGAAUACUAUUCAACCAUGAUAAGGAAUGAAGUACUAAUAUCAGUUACAACAUGCAAGAACCUUUAAAACAUUAUGAAAGAAGCUAAAGCUAAAUGAAAGAAGCCAGUCACAAAAGGGCCACAUAUUGUAUGAAAUGUUCAGAAUAGGCAAAUCCAUAGAGGCAGAAUAUAGAUUAGUAACAGACAGUGAAUAGGGGGAGGAGAAAAUGAGCAGUAAUUACUAAUGAGUAUGGAGUUUCUUUUUGGGGUGACUAAAAUAUUCUGGAAUUAGUGGUGAUGGUUGAGCAGCUCUGUGAGUAUACUAAAAACCACUGACUUCUAUAAUUUAAGAGGGUGGCUUUUAUGGUAUGUAAACCAUAGCUCAAUAAAACUGUUAUAUUUUUAAAAAGUAACUCCCAUCACUUCUGUUUAGUUUCGUUAGUCAAAGAAAGCCACAAAUUACUCCAACAGGCCAAGGAAGUGCAAUCCUUCCUUACAUGUGCUUAAAAGGGAAAUGGAAACAUUUGUUGAACAGUACUAAUGACUACAACAAGGCCCCCAGCCUUCACGAGGGUAUGAGUCUCAGAGUAGGCCAGUCGUGAUCUUACACCCUCCUGCAUACAAUGAUUGGUCCACUAGUGGUCAUAUAACAUAGGCAGGCCAACCAGCCCUUUUAUGGAAUGAAUGUAUGUUACAGGCAGAAACAUCUUGUGAUUACUGAAUAGGAGGAUGGGAGACUGGGACUGUCAGAAGCCAUCCUAUCAGCUUUAUGGAGAGAGCCUGCAUCCAGUUGUGACUGUUCAACCUCGAGAUUUUCAAGAUGCAGAAGAACUUUGCUUAAUGCCAUGUUGUUAGCUGCCCCGUGGAGAGGCUCACAUUGCAAGGAACUGCAGCUGGACUCUGGCCAACAAUCUACAAGAAAACUAAGCCCUGCCAAUAACCACAGGAAUGACCAUGGAAGUAGAUACUCCUCCAGAUGAGCCCUGAGAUUUCUGCAGCCCAGCUGACAUCUUGAUUGCAGUCUGUGAGAGACCUUAAAGCAGAGCAUCCAGCUAAGUCAUGGCCAGAUUCCUGACACGACACAAACUGUGAGAUAAUAAAUAUUGUUGUUUUAAG